GCUGCUGAAAGUUCAUCACAUCAACAUUCUGGAACAAACAACAAGAAGAUGCUGGAGUCCAGAACACACAGCUGGUCAACAUGUGACAUCACACUGACUCCACUCUGACAU